CCUACGGGAGGCAGCAGUGAGGAAUAUUGGUCAAUGGGCGCGAGCCUGAACCAGCCAAGUAGCGUGAAGGAUGACUGUCCUACGGGCUGUAAACUCUUUUUAUAAAGGAAUACAGUGAGGCACGUGUGCCUCUUUGUAUGUACGUUAUGAACAAGGAACGGCUAACUUCGCGCCAGCAGCCGCGGUAAUACGGAGGGUCCGAGGGUUAACCGGAUCGAUUGGGAUUAAAGGGAGCGUAGAUGGGUUGUUAAGUCAGUUGUGAAAGUUUGUGGCUCAACGGUAAAAUUGCAAUUGAUACUGGCAGACUUGAGUGCAGUAGAGGAAAGCGGAAUUCGAGGUGUAGCGGUGAAAUGCGUAGAUAUCACGAAGAACUCCGAUGGCGAAGGCGACUUACUAAACUGCCACUGACGUUGAUGCGCGAAAGUGUGGGUAUCAAACAGGAUUAGAUACCCGUGUAGUC
rnacentral:rRNA from 1 species